UGGUUCUGGCAUCGAUGAAGAACGCAGCGAAAUGCGAUAAGUAGUGUGAAUUGCAGACUUUAGUGAAUCAUCGAAUUUUUGAACGCACAUUGCGCCCCUUGGUAUUCCAUUGGGCAUGCCUGUUCGAGCGUCAUUUACACCGUCAAGCUCUGCUUGGUGUUGGGCGUUUGUCUCCACCUCCCUAUCGGGGUGGGGACUCGCCUUAAAGCGAUUGGCAGCGGCCCUUUUUGCCAGCUUCUUGCGCAGCACUUUUGCGCUUAGCGAGCCAGCAGCGGGCCUGCAAACCAGCAAGCAUCAUCUCUUUGUUUGACCUCGAAUCAGGUAGGGAUACCCGCUGA
rnacentral:misc_RNA from 1 species